UUAUAAAAAAUUGAGUAUCAAAGGUAUGCUAAUUAUUGUAUUGCCUGAAAGAGUGUCAUUGCCAUUAAAAGCAGUAAAGAAUUCAAGUACUCUGGAAGAAAAAAGACAAGAAAACACUUCAGUAAAUGGCUGUGUAUUUUUGAAAGUUAAUUAUUUGGCACAAAUUGAAGUUAAAGACGAAGGAGAUUGUAUAUGUUAUUAACUAAGAAUAGUUUAUUAAAAUGGCCUAGCUGUAAAAUUGAAUUAUGCAGAAAGAGGAUGAAAAAUUGGAAUAGGAAAAAUGUUGAUUGCAUAUACUGCUAUAGAAACUGUGAAGUCAAAUAAGUAGGGCUUAUGCAGACAUGUGGUAGAGAUAGCGGAAGAAAAAAUAAUAAUUGUGGGCACCAAAUGUCAUAAGCUAAACACGAUUCAAUAACAAGUAGCUCAGUCAUUGGUCGAAACUACUAUAUAAAUUAUACAGUGAAUUUUUUUGUUUGAAA